rnacentral:lncRNA from 1 species
GUGACAGCUAGGUAGGUGUACGAUAUGUGGCACCCCUGCACGGUUCGCGCUGUUAGGUGGGAUCAGCGUGACAGAUGGCUCGCUGGACCGAUAUGUUGGACACAGUAUGUGUGCAGUUCUUACUUGUUGUGCAGCUGGACUGCACACAACCAACCUGUAACAACAAGGACAACAAUACAACAGUUAAAACUUUCAGCAUCAGCAUCCUUGCAUCCUAUGCAUCCGUAGGCGCGUAUGUAGCCCCCUACUGCCCUCGCCCCUCGGCCCUACCGAUGGCCCUACCCACGGCGGCACAGCAUCCCAUGCGCCCAGCUUGCUAGCCCAGCAGGUCCACAAAAAAGCAACCCUAGAUUCCCUCAAACAUGAACACAGCAUACACCGCUACACACACCGUCCACAAAGGCACACACGCAUGCGCCCAGACACACACUGAAACAUACUUAUAUCCCCCGGUACUAUUGGUGCCAAGUAGCAUGUACAGUAGUAUACUGCAAAACAAAAUGCGUAAGUAACGACAGUGUCUCCAGUUCUCCACAUACAUAUUGACGUGCGUUGCGGGACUAAUGCGUACGUAGCCAUCCUGAUGCAUGGUCUCGAAAAUGAAACAAACUUGAGUAAACCCGUACGAGCAGCUGCGCUGUCUUGAAGACACACAGCAGUGAUGAAGCGCGCGGGGCCAGCCUGCCUGUGCUGCCUGUGUUGACGCAAGUGACGUAUGCCCGGGGCAGGCAGCGCGACCUCAAUGGCACAUACGCCCAGGGCCACCCCUGCGCAGGCGGCUCUAUCUAGGUUGACGUGCCGCGCGCGCCUAGCAAGUGGUGGUAACUCAGCAGCAGUGCACCGCAGUGCGGUGUCAGGCGCACGCUAGCUGGAAUUAUGUAGCUACGUUCAAGUCCAGGCAGCCUCGCCAAAACCGCCGGCACCCAGCAAUUCCAAGUGCGAGCAGCCUGUGCCGCGCCGCCUUCCCCAUCCCGUGAGGGAUUGUUAACUGAUGCGCCAAUCACACGCCCACUUGAUAAGCACUUGAACAGGCUGUGGCGCGCACAGUGCAGCGGAAGGAUAGGAAUACAACCGCGCAUAGUGGAGCGCGCGCGCAAGUCCGGACUCAAGGCUUGUGGCCUGUUGCUUCGCAAGGGCGGGUCAAUGGCUGGUUAGGAUAACUUCAACUCAUCAGAACAAAAUCCGGAUUGGUUGACAAAAGCGUGUACAUGCCCUUCUGGGUUGGUUGACACAAGCGUGUACGUGCCCUCCACCCCAUAGCCCACUCCGAAACAGCAGAACCCCAGACAGCAACGCCCGUCCACCCAAUGCUAGUGCCCUGCUGACUCUCGAUGCCUACGUCCUUGUCCAGUCGCGUCACUUACAAGAAACGCUUGAGUUUAAGGUGUCUAGGCGUCUUGUGUUGGCCCUCAGGUCCGCCUUCACCUCUGCUAUGUCCACCUUCAGGUCCUGGAAACCCUGCUGGAUCGCCAUAUAUAGUGCUAUUGCCGUAAUAACUGUAGACAAUACAUGCGUGAAGACAAGCCCAGUGUAGCCCUGCACGUCGAGCCGCGACCGCUGCUGAAUGGAAUCCAGCUUCUUCGCGCGCGGCGCCAGUGCAAUGACGCCACAGCGCGCGCGAUUAGCCGUUACAAAUGCGGGCGCCCGCUGGCGCCUCGCAACGUGCGCAGCGGUGUGCGCCCCACCGAGCGAAACCAUGUAUGCUAAGCUUGCGAGCAGUUCGAGGCGUUGGCGUGCUACUACUUGUAAGCGGUACGUUGGGUGUUAUGGCGAAGUACUCGCUGAGAUCCUGGCCAGUAGUACCUGCAGGGGACGGCCUCAUCGCACUUGGCCAACGGGGCUGCACAGUGCACGGCAGACCCUUCCACCCCCUUACUCCUUGGGGCAUCAAACCCCCCCUCCAUUCUUAAGGGCAUCGACCCCCUUCAGUUUCAAAGUUCAGGGUGGGGGCAAAACCCCUACUGUCCGCGCAGCUGUUAAGAAUUCACUGCAGCAUCUCCCGUAACAUGCUAAAUUGCCACGUUGCAGCCCAUGAAUUGUUGCCCACGGCGUUCAAACGUACACCAGGCCCCCCAUACACACGCUGACACACAAGGCUGACGCGCAAAUACAACCACCACCUGACUAACCACACGGAAAACCCCGCAAGUAGUACAGUAGUAAACUGCAAAAGCAAUGGCGGUGUCUCCAGUUCUCCACAUAGCCAUCCUGCAUGGUCUCAAAAUUUAACAUACAUAAGACAACCCGUGCGAGCAGCUGAUAGACUGUUAGCAGCGAUGAAACGCUGCAGGGGUCGGUUCAUACAGGCACGGCCCGCCACGCGUGCAACCACAUCCCGCUGUCAGGCACAAACACAAACACAGCCAGCAAUGAACCAAACGGCCGAAAAUUCUCUAGCCACAACACUGCUCACUGCUGCGGUCUACCAUUUUACUGCGCUCGCCGGCAAAGACCCUAACUAGACACCGGCCGGCCUCAACCUGCGCGCUGGCUUGGGCGGCGCCGCGCUCUCCUCCUCCACGUGGCCUUGCUCGCCCCCUCCACUACGCACAUGCUCGCCGCAACUGCCGCCGCUGCCGCCAGGCCAUGUGCCGCUGCUGCCCCUGCUGCUGCUGCUGCCGCCGCCGCCGCCGCUGCACUGGUGGGGCCAGGCCCGCCACCACCACCAUCGCCGCCGCCGCCACCGUGGCGCAGGGCCGCAGGUCGCGCUCUACCAAGCAGCAUCUCCAUCAGCGCGUGCCGCGUCUUCGUCGCACAGUUGGCGCCGCGGCCGCCCUGCAGUGAAAUGUUCAACCGGACGGCACCUGAGCCUGUCUGAUACCUGACCCGGCCCCCUGAACCGGACUAAAACUGUGCCGGACUUACCCACAUAGUCCCGCAGUGUUGGCACACUUGGACAUCGCGGGCACGCGAGCCACCAAACGGAAUCACCACUUGCAGGCAGCGCUGCCCGUCACCCCGCAGAUGGCUCGUGCCUGUCAACCGUAUUGGUCUAGUCGCGCCACUUGCGACCAAAGCUGGCGUUCAAAUUGUCGAGCCUGCCACUGUUGGCCCUUAUGUCUGUCUUCAUGUCUGUUAUGUCCGCCUUCAGGUCUGCUAUGUCCCCCUUCAGGUCCUGGAAACCCUGCUGGAUAUCGCCCUGGAUCGCCAUAUAUAGUGCUAGUGCCGUUGCAGCUGUAGCGAAUACAUGCGUGAAGACAAGCCCAGAG